CAGUAGCCGCGGUAAUACGAGGGGGGCAAGCGUUGUUCGGAAUUAUUGGGCGUAAAGCGUGCGUAGGUGGUGGUUUAAGUCCGUUGUGAAAGCCCUGGGCUCAACCUGGGAAUUGCAGUGGAUACUGGGUCACUAGAGUGUGGUAGAGGAUAGUGGAAUUUCCGGUGUAGCAGUGAAAUGCGUAGAGAUCGGAAGGAACAUCUGUGGCGAAGGCGACUAUCUGGGCCAACACUGACACUGAGGCACGAAAGCGUGGGGAGCAAACAGGAUUAGAUACCCCGGUAGUCCCUGUCUCUUAUAC
rnacentral:rRNA from 1 species